AUCUUUUGGGGUGUCUUUGACUGUCUCAUCAUUGAUGUUAGUCUGGUAGUUGCUUUACCCGGGACCAGUUUGGGCUGUGCCAUCCAUCAGCAGGAAGAACGGCAGAGAAUAACAGAGCUUCUGCUGCCUCGUGUAAAGGGGGCCUGCCUGAAAUUCCCUUAACCAUACGUCACUCAAAGGCUCUUUUUCAGGGCAAUAGCCUUCAUCUGUAGUGAAUUCCUGAUACAGAAAAGCUUCUCACAGAAACUAAAUAAUGUAAUAUAUUCCAGGUUCUGGGCAGAUAAGAAUGGAAAAGGCUGUGGUGCUUGUGGAAGUGGAAUGAUAGCGACAAGCGCCAUGUGAAAUCCCCGAAGGUGGUGUCAGAGGACACGCUCCCCCAUAAAAUUAUGAAAGAAUCUGGUGUAAUGAUGCAUUGUGAGACAAUUUGAGCAUAAAUACCACAUUCUUUCCCAUUAAUGAUUAAAUUUCAUUGUGCCAUGAUUUUUUUUAAAAAAAGAAUGUAGAUUUUGUGCACACUGAGAACAGGAAUUUCCAUUGUGAUAGUGCUGCAGUAAGAUUUAAAGAUUGUGGGGAACUAAGAAAUGAAAUGCAAAUCACUCUCACAUACAACCUCCUGCUGAGGCCCAAAUUUUUACAGAUCAGGUUCUGCAGCCCUGAUGGGGAAUCAGUGAUCUGCCUUUCCUGGGAUUCACAAAUUAGUAGUAGUCUAAGGUAUCAUUUUCUACAAUAUAAUUGUAACUUAUCCGAUGAAAGUUUGCGACUGAAGGCAGUCCUCUGAUCGUCCAUUAUUUUUCCAGCUGCUUUGCCACUGAGGAUUCUUUCACAGACAAUGCAAAUAUGCACAUCACAGCCUCCCUCUCUGAAACAUGCACUUCUUGAAUAUAAACACGUUGUGAAUAUUGUUUCCUUCUUCCUUUCUCCUUUGCUUUUUUUUUUUUUUUUUUUUGGAUAUGCAGGUGGUAAAAUACUGGCUGCCAUGAACUUCAUGUAAGAAAUAAAAAUUACCCACUUUUGGGGGCUGCUUGAUAGAAAACUGCCAGCUCGUAGCAUCACUGCUGCUGUAAUCACUGCAAGGAUAAUAGGACAUACAUGCUUUUGUGGAUAAUUUUGUUCGCUAAUUGCUCAUGAAAUUUCAGGGAUUGUUUUAGAUCUUUGUGACAUGCUUGGCACUGAGCUGAGAAGGAGGACAUGCACACUUCAGUCUAAGAAUGUGUGACAAGAGAAACGCAAAGAAGACAGGAAGAAGGGGAUAAAGCUGUGGACAAGGUGUCAAAAAUGUCCAAGUGCCUCCAGAAUGUGGUUUUGUGUAUCUGCAACAAUGACAAUGCAGGUAAAAGUGGAAUCUCAUCCAUUUGUUGGGCUGGCUGCCAGGCUAGCAGCACAAGCAUGUGGCUGGGGAAAAGAUCCUGUUAAUAUUCAUCUGAUAACUUACUUGUUGAGAGAGUGGGAAAAUUAGGCUAUAUUCUUUUAGGACAGUUACACCACAUGUGGCUAAAACUCAAGGAAGAGCGGUAAACAAUGAGAGAGGACAUACUUCUCCCCAUAUCUCCCACACACAUUCACACACAACUUAUGACAGUUUUGGGGGCUUCUGAUUUUCAUAAAGUGUUAUCUGCUGAAAAAUAAUUUCUACAACUGAGCUACCCUUCUGACUCCUGGACCUUUCCUCUCUGCAGCUUUAUUGUCAAGGCAUUCAGAUACCAUAGAGAUGAGCAUUUUGUAAGAAUGUAGAUAGACAGACUCAGAGGCCAUAGAUCUAUUGACGGCACUGUUCCCUCUACGCUGUGCGUGUGGCAUGCGCACACAGAUCCUAAAUCCCGCGCACACGGCAAAACACCACGUGCACAAAAAUGUUGACAGAAGCACAACAAUUUGCACAGAAGA